CCGACGGUGAGAGGUGAAAGCUGGGGGAGCAAACCGGAUUAGAUACCCGGGUAGUCCCAGCCGUAAACGAUGUGCGUUAGGUGUAUCGGUGACCACGAGUCACCGAGGUGCCGAAGAGAAAUCGUGAAACGUACCGCCUGGGAAGUACGGUCGCAGGGCUGAAACUUAAAGGAAUUGGCGGGGGAGCACCACAACAGGUGGAGCCUGCGGUUUAAUCGGACUCAACGCCGGGAAACUCACCAGAUAAGACAGCUGAAUGAUAGUCGGGCUGAAGACUCUACUUGACUAGCUGAGAGGAGGUGCAUGGCCGUCGUCAGUUCGUACUGUGAAGCAUCCUGUUAAGUCAGGCAACGAGCGAGACCCACGCCAACAGUUGCU
rnacentral:rRNA from 1 species